UACGUAGGUGGCGAGCGUUGUCCGGAUUUACUGGGCGUAAAGGGCGUGCAGGCGGUUUGUUAAGUGCAGGGUGAAAGCUCCCGGCUCAACUGGGAGAGGUCCUUGCAUACUGGCGAACUCGAGGGAGGCAGAGGAAAGUGGAAUUCCCGGUGUAGUGGUGAUAUGCGUAGAUAUCGGGAGGAACACCUGUGGCGAAGGCGGCUUUCUGGGCCUUACCUGACGCUGAGGCGCGAAAGCGUGGGGAGCGAACAGG
rnacentral:rRNA from 1 species